AGGACGAACGCUGGCGGCGUGCCUAACACAUGCAAGUCGAACGAGGUCCAACCGGUAGCAAUACCGGUGAAGACCAAGUGGCGAACGGGUGAGUAGCACGUGAGCAACCUGCCCCGAAGACCGGGACAACACCGGGAAACCGGUGCUAAUACCGGAUAUCCCCACCGAGUCGCAUGGCUUGGUGAGGAAAUGGAUUCCGCUUCGGGAGGGGCUCGCGGCCUAUCAGCUUGUUGGUGAGGUAACGGCUCACCAAGGCGACGACGGGUA
rnacentral:rRNA from 1 species